rnacentral:rRNA from 1 species
UACCAGCACCCCGAGUGGUCGGGACGAUUAUUGGGCCUAAAGCAUCCGUAGCCGGUUCUACAAGUCUUCCGUUAAAUCCACCUGCUUAACAGAUGGGCUGCGGAGGAUACUAUGGAGCUAGGAGGCGGGAGAGGCAAGCGGUACUUAGUGGGUAGGGGUAAAAUCCGUUGAUCCAUUGAAGACCACCAGUGGCGAAGGCGGCUUGCCAGAACGCACUC